AACGAACGCUGGCGGCAUGCCUAACACAUGCGAGUCGAACGAGACCUUCGGGUCUAGUGGCGCACGGGUGCGUAACGCGUGGGAACCUGCCCUUAGGUUCGGAAUAACUCCCCGAAAGGGGUGCUAAUACCGGAUAAUGUCUUCGGACCAAAGAUUUAUCGCCUUUGGAUGGGCCCGCGUUGGAUUAGCUAGUUGGUAGGGUAAAAGCCUACCAAGGCGACGAUCCAUAGCUGGUCUGAGAGGAUGAUCAGCCACACUGGGACUGAGACACGGCCCAGACUCCUACGGGAGGCAGCAGUGGGGAAUAUUGGACGAUGGGCGAAAGCCUGAUCCAGCAAUGCCGCGUGAGUGAUGAAGGCCUUAGGGUUGUAAAGCUCUUUUACCCGGGAUGAUAAUGACAGUACCGGGAGAAUAAGCUCCGGCUAACUCCGUG
rnacentral:rRNA from 1 species